rnacentral:rRNA from 1 species
UACGUAGGGGGCAAGCGUUGUCCGGAAUCAUUGGGCGUAAAGAGCGUGUAGGCGGCCCGAUAAGUCCGCUGUGAAAGUCGAGGGCUCAACCCUCGAAUGCCGGUGGAUACUGCAGGGCUAGAGUCCGGAAGAGGCGAGUGGAAUUCCUGGUGUAGCGGUGAAAUGCGCAGAUAUCAGGAGGAACACCGAUGGCGAAGGCAGCUCGCUGGGGGUGUCCUGGACGCUGAGGCGCGAAAGCCAGGGGAGCGGAACGGGG